GCCCGGCACGGUGGUGCAUGCCUGUAAUCCCAGUGGCUGGGGAGGCUGAAGCAGGAGGAUCGAGAGGUCAAAGCCAGUCUCAGCAACGGCAAGGCACUAAGCAACUCAUGAGACCCUGUUUCUA
rnacentral:sRNA from 1 species